UAGAGACUCAAAGUUAAUUUAACUAUGAAAUUAUUGUUCUUGCUAAAAAGCCAGCCAAUGUAACGAAGCAAAGAGGCAACAACUACUGUUGGUUGGUGAAUCUGCAUAUCUGUUUCCUGUUGCUUGAAAUAUGGAAGUUUCGAUCCAAUAACUGAUAAGGAAAAGAUGGGAGAGGAGGAUGAGGUGGAGGAGACAGAGAAGAAAUAUGUGUUUUUGUGAGAGUGGGGACAUUGAAGUUCUUGAUCUUAUAGAAGAUGAUGAUGUUGAUGAAGAUGAAACUGACGAAUUCAUUAGUGAAAGUAUAUAACAAGCACUCAAGUAUCAGAAAG